rnacentral:snoRNA from 1 species
GGCCUGUGAUGAUCUUUACUUUUCUGACACCUCGUAUGAGAGCUGUUCACAGCUUCUGAUUCGAUUGCUUUGUCUGAGGCCU